ensembl:lncRNA
GACUUCAUCUCCAAGGGCAGCAAGUGUACAUCCCACGCCUGGGGAGUGUUAGGGAAGCCCUCUGCUCCUGCUGGGGGCUUCGCUGGCUCAGAUGGUAAAGAGUCUGCCCGCAAUGCAGGAGACUCAGGUUCAAUCCCUGGAUCAGGAAGAUCCCCGGAAGGAAGGCAUAGCAACCCACUCCAGUAUUCUGGCCUGGAGAAUCCCCAUGGACAGAGGAGCCUGGCUGGCUACAGUCCAUGGGGUUGCAGAGUCGGACACAACUGAGCAACUAACCCCUCUGUUCCCACCACCUCAUUUGCUUCCUCUGGGUCUGAAGCAGGUGUGCUCUCUGGUCGGGGCUGGGUUCUCCAGGUACUACCAGGCUCAAGGCCUGAGAGGUCCCUGCCCUGGGCUUCCUGCCGCCUCUCUCCUCCCACCUGGCAGCGAAGCAACUCCCCUGGGCCAGGCGCUGGGGGAAGGGCUCACAGAGGGAGAGCGAUAGAAACCCUCCGUGAUGGAUUGAAGGAGACGAGACCAUUCCCGGCUGGCGGAGGAGUUGCGGCUGCAGUGACAGGUGGCGAUGUUUGUGCUCUGAACCUGCAAUCUCAGCUAAUGGGAGAGAUUGAGGAGUUUGGAAUGAGACACGGCGUGGGCCACAGCCCCACGGGCCAAGAUGCUGCUGGCAUAGGCCGCGUGGCUUCGUGGGGUUCCUGAAGGAGGGAGUGGGUGCCACAUUCCUGGGCAGGGGAGAGAAUGUCUUUGGCUGCCUAUGAGUGUCAGGAGGACCAAGCUGGAGCAGCAGGUGGAUUUUUUAUCAUUGAGUCACCUGGGAAGCCUAUUCCUCAAGGAUGUUGGCCUGUGACUUUCUUUUCUUGAGGUAUCCUUUUUCUGGUUUCUGCGUCUGGAUAAUGC